rnacentral:misc_RNA from 1 species
GACCUACAUGUGUGUGGACCAUAAAGUAAGCCUUGGGGUAGGUUACAUAAAAUGCUAACUUCUAAAUGUUUGCAAUCAUUUCCAGCAUGAUUCACAAUUUCUUCUUUUAUAUUUGCCUUUGGCAUGUUGUAAACUUCAGAGAUGCAUGUGAAGAGUUAGGAUACCUGGGCUUAAAAUUAUAAUUAAAUGGUUAGCUAUAUAUGGCUGUUAUGAGUUGGAUUUAUUUUACAAUAUAACACAGCAGAUAUGCUGUGUGUGUGGAUUAAAAAAAUAGAUUGUAACUUUUACACAUUGCCGAAGAUAUGCCAUGUGUGAAACCAUUAAGAAUAUAGAUGUGAAUUUUUUUCCUGUUAUACAUAUUAC